UUCCUUCGGGGCAGGGCGAAAUUCCCUACCGGCGGUGAUGACCUCCAUGGUACGUAAUUGUAAUUUGGAUCAGUCUAAGUCCGUGACCCGUUAAGCGUAUGCUUACGGUGGAUCUGGUGAAACUCCGGAACCGACAGUAUAGUCUGGAUGAGAGAAGGA
rnacentral:ncRNA from 1 species